rnacentral:rRNA from 1 species
AGUGAACGCUGGCGGUAGGCCUAACACGUGCAAGUCGAACGGCAGCACAGUAAGAGCUUGCUCUUACGGGUGGCGAGUGGCGGACGGGUGAGGAAUACAUCGGAAUCUACUUUUUCGUGGGGGAUAACGUAGGGAAACUUACGCUAAUAUCGCAUACGACCUACGGGUGAAAGCAGGGGAUCUUCGGACCUUGCGCGAUUGAAUGAGCCGAUGUCGGAUUAGCUAGUUGGCGGGGUAAAGGCCCACCAAGGCGACGAUCCGUAGCUGGUCUGAGAGGAUGAUCAGCCACACUGGAACUGAGACACGGUCCAGACUCCUACGGGAGGCAGCAGUGGGGAAUAUUGGACAAUGGGCGCAAGCCUGAUCCAGCCAUACCGCGUGGGUGAAGAAGGCCUUCGGGUUGUAAAGCCCUUUUGUUGGGAAAGAAAAGCAGCAGGUUAAUACCCCGCUGUUCUGACGGUACCCAAAGAAUAAGCACCGGCUAACUUCGUG